ACAGUCCUCGGCCUUUUGGCUAAGAUCAAGUGUAGUAUCUGUUCUUAUCAGUUUAAUAUCUGAUACGUCCUCUAUCCAAGGACAAUAUAUUAAAUGAAUUUUAGAAUGGGAGAAAAUAAU
rnacentral:snRNA from 1 species